rnacentral:rRNA from 1 species
AUUGAACGCUGGCGGCAUGCCUUACACAUGCAAGUCGAACGGCAGCACGGGACCUUGCUCCUGGUGGCGAGUGGCGAACGGGUGAGUAAUACAUCGGAACGUACCCUGAAGUGGGGGGAUAACGUAGCGAAAGUUACGCUAAUACCGCAUAUUCUGUGAGCAGGAAAGAGGGGGAUCGCAAGACCUCUUGCUUUAGGAGCGGCCGAUGUCGGAUUAGCUAGUUGGUGAGGUAAAGGCUCACCAAGGCGACGAUCCGUAGCGGGUCUGAGAGGAUGAUCCGCCACACUGGGACUGAGACACGGCCCAGACUCCUACGGGGGGCAGCAGUGGGGAAUUUUGGACAAUGGGCGCAAGCCUGAUCCAGCCAUGCCGCGUGAGUGAAGAAGGCCUCGG